rnacentral:rRNA from 1 species
UGAGGAAUAUUGGUCAAUGGGCGAGAGCCUGAACCAGCCAUCCCGCGUGCAGGAAGAAGGCCCUAUGGGUUGUAAACUGCUUUUGUGCAUGAAGAACACCCCUGACGAGUUCGGGGGCUGACGGUAAUGCGUGAAUAAGCACCGGCUAACUCCGUGCCAGCAGCCGCGGUAAUACGGAGGGUGCAAGCGUUAUCCGGAUUUAUUGGGUUUAAAGGGUGCGUAGGCGGCCUUUUAAGUCAGUGGUGAAAACCUGCGGCUCAACCGUAGGCGUGCCAUUGAAACUGAAGGGCUUGAGUCACCAUGAGGCAGGCGGAAUGUGUAGUGUAGCGGUGAAAUGCUUAGAUAUUACACAGAACACCGAUUGCGUAGGCAGCUUGCUAAAGGUACACUGACGCUGAUGCACGAAAGCGUGGGGAUCGAACA